rnacentral:rRNA from 1 species
CCUACGGGAGGCAGCAGUGGGGAAUUUUCCGCAAUGGGCGAAAGCCUGACGGAGCAAUACCGCGUGAAGGAAGACGGCCUAUGGGUUGUAAACUUCUUUUUUCAGGGAGGAACUCAAUGACGUGUACCUGAAGAAUAAGCAUCGGCUAACUCCGUGCCAGCAGCCGCGGUAAGACGGAGGAUGCAAGUGUUAUCCGGAAUCACUGGGCGUAAAGCGUCUGUAGGUGGUUUAAUAAGUCGACUGUUAAAUCUUGAGGCUUAACCUCAAAAUCGCAUUCGAAACUAUUAGACUUGAGUAUAGUAGAGGUAAAGGGAAUUUCCAGUGGAGCGGUGAAAUGCGUAGAUAUUGGAAAGAACACCGAUGGCGAAGGCACUUUACUGGGCUAUUACUGACACUCAGAGACGAAAGCUAGGGUAGCAAAUGGGAUUAGAUACCCCAGUAGUCCUAGCCGUAAACAAUGGAUACUAGAUGUUGGACAGAUCGACCUGUGCAGUAUCAAAGCUAACGCGUUAAGUAUCCCGCCUGGGAAGUAUGCUCGCAAGAGUGAAACUCAAAGGAAUUGACGG